UAGGGAAUCUUCCGCAAUGGACGCAAGUCUGACGGAGCAACGCCGCGUGAGUGAAGAAGGAUUUCGGUUCGUAAAACUCUGUUGUUAGAGAAGAACAGCGCAUAGAGUAACUGUUAUGCGUGUGACGGUAUCUAACCAGAAAGCCACGGCUAACUACGUGCCAGCAGCCGCGGUAAUACGUAGGUGGCAAGCGUUGUCCGGAUUUAUUGGGCGUAAAGCGAGCGCAGGCGGUCAAUUAAGUCUGAUGUGAAAGCCCCCGGCUCAACCGGGGAGGGUCAUUGGAAACUGGUUGACUUGAGUGCAGAAGAGGAGAGUGGAAUUCCAUGUGUAGCGGUGAAAUGCGUAGAUAUAUGGAGGAACACCACUGGCGAAGGCGACUCUCUGGUCUGUAACUGACGCUGAGGCUCGAAAGCGUGGGGAGCGAACAGG
rnacentral:rRNA from 1 species